rnacentral:rRNA from 1 species
ACGGAAGGCAGCAGUGGGGAAUAUUGGGCAAUGGGGGCAACCCUGACCCAGCAACGCCGCGUGGAGGAAGAAGGCUUUCGGGUUGUAAACUUCUUUUACCAGGGACGAAGGACGUGACGGUACCUGGAGAAAAAGCCACGGCUAACUACGUGCCAGCAGCCGCGGUAAUACGUAGGUGGCAAGCGUUGUCCGGAUUUACUGGGUGUAAAGGGCGUGUAGGCGGAGCAGCAAGUCAGAUGUGAAAUCUCCGGGCUUAACCCGGAAACUGCAUUUGAAACUGUUGCCCUUGAGUAUCGGAGAGGCAGGCGGAAUUCCUAGUGUAGCGGUGAAAUGCGUAGAUAUUAGGAAGAACACCAGUGGCGAAGGCGGCCUGCUGGACGACAACUGACGCUGAGGCGCGAAAGCGUG